rnacentral:rRNA from 1 species
AUGGAGCAGGAGGAGGGGCGGAGGAAGCGGCAGGCGGCGGCGGUGGUGGCGCUGGAGUGUGUGGCGGGAAGCUCCAAGGCGGAGGAGUGGGGCGGCGGCGGGGUCGUGGUGCAGGAGGGCGACGUGGUGGAGUCGGUCCGUGUCGGGCUGAGCUCCGGUGCAGGUUCGUUGGACGCGCCCUUCAAGGGCGGCCGCGCGGGGCUCCACAAGGCGCUGCACAAGGCGUUCAUGCGCGGGGACACCUCCGUGGAGGUCCGCGUCCCCGGCGGCAAGGACCUGCAGGCCUGCAUCCUGCCGCACCCCGGCGACGCCAUCGCUCGGAAGCAGAAUGUGCUCGGCUUCGGGGUGUAUGUGUUAUUUUUUUGUUAA